GGCUGAGCUGCCAAAGAAGAGGACCAUAAAAAAACAAGACAUUCUCUCCAAGCAGAUCCCCUGACCAGCCAAGUCCAGAGGAGAAAAAGGUGCUGACUAUCGUACCAAAAAAUGAUGCCAUGCUGAUGAAAGUCAUAAAGAGGAAUGAGGACAAAAAAGAGAAAAUGUAGAUGAUAUGCGCCUUAAAAAUGACAUGGCAAAAUUACGUUCAGAAAAUCAUAUGCUAAAGAAAGAAAAUGAAGAGCUGAGGGCUGUUAAUGUCCAACUCCAAAGAGAACUCUUAAACAAGUUAAAGACACAGUCCCAGCCACUGUACCAACCCCCAUCUGAUCACUGUCAGCCCCAUUCUCCAGCCAGCCCCUGUCUGAUAAUCCAUCCUAGCCCAUGAGCCAGCCCCAGCCUCUGAACUACCCACAGUUGCACUUUCCUCCUAAUAAGGGAAGAAGCUCAAGACAUCAGCCCAAAACCUCGGCAUGAGCAUGGAUACGUUGUAGGCCUGUGGCAGAGGAGGAAAGUCAUGAUCGGCCAUGAUAAAGGAUCUUGCAGUGGCAGUCUUCGGACGCGAGCAGCUGGCUACACAUGGCCUUUCUGGAAAGUCUGGCAAUAAAACAUCGUGCAGGGAAAAUUUGACAGCAUACCAAGAAAGGUGAUCCGAGCUUCACUCAGACAGAAAAUGAACGAUGAGCAUAAACUCCGCCUGAGGACAUUUCCUGCAAGAAAAUUGUGAAGGAUUGUGACCUGGAAUCCUGCAGGACAUUUCCUGGAAGAAAAUGGUGAAGGAUUGUGACCUGGAAUUCUGCAGGACAUUUCCUGCAAGAAAAUUGUGAAGGAUUGUGACCUGGAAUCCUGCAGGACAUUUCCUACAAGAAAAUUGUGAAGGAUUGUGACCUGGAGUCCUGCAGGAAUCUGAAAGAUUCCCACAGGAUUAUGGUCCCCAAAUCCUGUAGGUUUUCCUGCAGGAAAUCGAGUCCUGCAUGGAGACCUACAGGAUUUUUGGGCCAUAAUCCUGCAGGAUUCUGAAUUUUUUUCCUGCAGGACUCCUGCAUGGGAUUUCCUGCAGCCCAUGCAGGACUCUUGCAUGGGAUUUCCUGCAGGAGUCCUGCAGGUUUUUUUUGUAAGGGAAGACACGCCCUCCGCCACACCACCUCACCCCCCCUCACUCUCGCAUCUUUUAAAUUUGUGCAGUCGGCGGGGACAGGCCGAAAACUGGUGUUGAGUUACCCUUUAACAAUGUACUCGAUUAUCUGAUUGUCAGCUUGCUUGCUAGUCAUUGAUGUUAACAGAUAACUUAACUUAAAUAAUUGGUCUGUCAUAUUUGUUCCCUAUGGAUAAUGUAAUGUUACAGUGUCAUAAUGUCUUUUUCAGUUUCUAACAAAGAUCAGGAAACAGGAGAGAUCUCCGUGAGGGCGACCUGUUAUCGGUCCAUGAAAAAAAGCGAGAAGCCACACAAUCUGAGUGUAGGGUUAAGAGAGCAAUGAAAUUUAGCUAAGAGUUAACAUAACCUGUUCUGGUUAUUAAUUCACAUUUCAGGGAAUUAAUGCCGAUUUGCUCUGUCAAACAGAAUGCGGUAGGGUAAUGGGUAUCUAAAUGCCGAACGUUACAGUUCAUUUGAAUAGCUAUAUCAACUCUGGCACACAAAUUAACGUUGACCUAUCACUAAUAGAUAGGCAAUAAAGUUAGUACAUUAAGAAAACAUUCAGUUUUGACAGCUGGCGUGGUGUUCCCAGAAACUAGAUUUUUGUUCCGUUUUGUUCUCAUUUUCCUUUCUAUAUGUCUGGCUUGGAUACUAGGUUUCACAGAACAUCUGUGACUAAAACUUAAACAUCAUCAUCAUGACAUAAGUUUUACAUUUCACCCAUUACAUAUUUUCACAGGUUGUGUUAAAGGACAUUACUACACUGUCACUGGUACCUAUGUGGCUGGUUCAGCACUGUGCAACCAUGUAGCUGCCCUGUUGUAUCAGACGGCACACUACUCGCAACUUAGGGUCAGUGUUGUUCCCCCAGUGCACAGCUGCACGGAGGCUGGGCAAAGUUGGCACAAGCCUAGAACCAUGGCUGUUAAUCCAGGACCCAUUAACCAGAUGGUUGUUCUGUCAGCUGGACCAAAGGAGAGAAAAAUGGCAGAAGGACUGAAGAGUAACCUAUACAAAGGUGUCAGUGGGGACCUGCCUGAUCUCAGAGUGUCUGAGGUGUACAACUCCUUCAGCAGUGAUGUGGCACCAUUGAUCACCACAAUGAGAAUAUCUAGUGAGGUCCCAUUAGUGGAUUCGAUCUUUGGUAAAGUCCAAGAAGGGAGUGUUCUGUCAUAUCAGCUACCUGCAGCAAGAUCACACAAGACAUCGCCUCAUACAAAUGCCCCUCCUAGACCACCUCUGCCACUGGAAGGCUACCACCUGGAUCCAGCAGG